AACGAACGCUGGCGGCAUGCCUAACACAUGCAAGUCGAACGGGAUCCUAGCUUGCUAGGUGAGAGUGGCGGACGGGUGAGUAACACGUGGGAAUCUGCCUUUUGGUUCGGGAUAACCGCGGGAAACUGCGGCUAAUACCGAAUGCCCUCGUGAGAGGAAAGAUUUAUCGCCAGAAGAGGAGCCCGCGUCCGAUUAGGUAGUUGGUGGGGUAAAGCCUACCAAGCCGACGAUCGGUAGCUGGUCUGAGAGGAUGAUCAGCCACACUGGGACUGAGAUACGGCCCAGACUCCUACGGGAGGCAGCAGUGGGGAAUAUUGGACAAUGGGGGCAACCCUGAUCCAGCAAUGCCGCGUGAGUGAUGAAGGCCUUAGGGUUGUAAAGCUCUUUUGCCAGGGAAGAUGAUGACUGUACCUGGAGAAUAAGCCCCGGCUAACUUCGUGCCAGCAGCCGCGGUAAU
rnacentral:rRNA from 1 species